GGGCUUGUGGUACAGUGGUAGCACGUUCGCUUAGCAUCUGAUCGAGUCACGUGCUUGCGAAAGGUCCUGGGUUCAAUUCCCAGCAAGUCCA
rnacentral:tRNA from 2 species